rnacentral:rRNA from 1 species
UACAGAGGUCUCAAGCGUUGUUCGGAAUCACUGGGCGUAAAGGGUGCGUAGGCUGCGGAGAAAGUCUGGUGUGAAAUUUGUGAGCUCAACUCGCAACUAGCACCUGAUACUACUUUGCUAGAGAUCUGGAGAGGAGCUUGGAAUUCUCGGUGUAGCAGUGAAAUGCGUAGAUUUCGAGAAGAACGCUCGCUGCGAAAGCGAAGCUCUGGCCAGAUUCUGACGCUGAGGCACGAAGGCUAGGGGAGCAAACGGG